rnacentral:lncRNA from 1 species
GUAAACAACUUUUUCAUGUCUUUGCAAAAGCAGUUUUAAUCCUACUGGUUUAGCUAUUGUAUCAAAUAAAUAGCCAAUUCUGCUGGGGAAGGAUUAGGGGCUCAUAAGUGAGAAUCAAUAUUUCAUUUGGAUAAUGGCUAAAAAACUCAACUGUCAAAAUAAAGGAGAGAUUAAAGCCAUGAUAAUAACUUAGAAGAUAGUGUGAGGCAAAAGUGUGAACUCAGGAAAUGACUCAACACAUUCGGUAACAUAAAACUGUGGCCUCAAUUCACUCUGACAGUUGUUGUGCUACCUGCCUGCUGCCCAAGUAAAGUAAGUUUAUAAAUAAAACACACAGGACGACAUAUGGUCAGAUGCUUUCUGUGCGAUGAGUGUGUUUCCUUACUGUCCUAUCAGUCACACUGCACUAUGGAAAUUUUUAUUAUUCCUGCUCAUCUACUUUCAUGUGGUUUAAAUGAAAAGAGCACUAAACUUUCAGCCAGAGACUUGAGUUCUAUCUAGUUCAGGAUUUGUCACCAACUUGUUACGUGAUUUUGAACAAAUGGCUUAAUUUCUCUCUUUUUAAACCUCUUCUUUAGUAAAGUUCCCUGCUUUCUCUGAGGGGAUGUAUUGAGGAUCAAUGCAUGGCGAGAUGAAGGCAACAUGGGUUAAAAGGUAAACAUGUUUAACAGCAACUGGUGAAUUACUUAAACAGGCACAACAACAAAUUCGAGAGGAAGCUGGGCUGCGUGAGAAAGUUUGGCAAGCAGGUAUGCCACGGAAAGCCUAUCAAGAUCUCCCAUUUCUUCCUUGAUCUACACGCCCUGAGCACCUGCAUGCGGCUCGGGCAGUGCAAGGUGCUCAGGAUAUCCAAGUGAAAAACACUUUGCAGGCCUGAGAAGCAGACCUGAAGAGGUUUAUUUUCCUCCAGUCCCUUUUGAUAUAUGCUAUCAGGGAAAAAACAAAACCAAAAAGGACGGCAUGUUUGAAAAAAAACGACAUACUGAGCUUCUAGAGCAAAGAAUUCUGUGUAGACUAGAAUGGGGCAGCCCAGAGAAGGAAAAAAGAGGACCAAAGGCAAAUAUUAUCAUGAUAAUGGAGCGUCUAACAAAAUUGUUCUCCAGAGAGGGAGAAAGCAUUAGAGAAAACACAGUGAAGGAUUCUGCACUGUUCCCCAAGGACCCCAAACAGGCAAGUGCUAUUACAGGGCGGGAGCAUCCCAAGGUUGUGGCUGAGGA